UCAUGGCUCAGGAUGAACGCUGGCGGCGUGCCUAAUACAUGCAAGUCGAGCGAACGGACGAGAAGCUUGCUUCUCUGAUGUUAGCGGCGGACGGGUGAGUAACACGUGGAUAACCUACCUAUAAGACUGGGAUAACUUCGGGAAACCGGAGCUAAUACCGGAUAAUAUUUGAACCGCAUGGUUCAAAAGUGAAAGACGGUCUUGCUGUCACUUAUAGAUGGAUCCGCGCUGCAUUAGCUAGUUGGUAAGGUAACGGCUUACCAAGGCAACGAUGCAUAGCCGACCUGAGAGGGUGAUCGGCCACACUGGAACUGAGACACGGUCCAGACUCCUACGGGAGGCAGCAGUAGGGAAUCUUCCGCAAUGGGCGAAAGCCUGACGGAGCAACGCCGCGUGAGUGAUGAAGGUCUUCGGAUCGUAAAACUCUGUUAUUAGGGAAGAACAUAUGUGUAAGUAACUGUGCACAUCUUGACGGUACCUAAUCAGAAAGCCACGGCUAACUACGUGCCAGCAGCCGCGGUAAUACGUAGGUGGCAAGCGUUAUCCGGAAUUAUUGGGCGUAAAGCGCGCGUAGGCGGUUUUUUAAGUCUGAUGUGAAAGCCCACGGCUCAACCGUGGAGGGUCAUUGGAAACUGGAAAACUUGAGUGCAGAAGAGGAAAGUGGAAUUCCAUGUGUAGCGGUGAAAUGCGCAGAGAUAUGGAGGAACACCAGUGGCGAAGGCGACUUUCUGGUCUGUAACUGACGCUGAUGUGCGAAAGCGUGGGGAUCAAACAGGAUUAGAUACCCUGGUAGUCCACGCCGUAAACGAUGAGUGCUAAGUGUUAGGGGGUUUCCGCCCCUUAGUGCUGCAGCUAACGCAUUAAGCACUCCGCCUGGGGAGUACGACCGCAAGGUUGAAACUCAAAGGAAUUGACGGGGACCCGCACAAGCGGUGGAGCAUGKGGUUUAAUUCGAAGCAACGCGAAGAACCUUACCAAAUCUUGACAUCCUUUGACAACUCUAGAGAUAGAGCYUUCCCCUUCGGGGGACAAAGUGACAGGUGGUGCAUGGUUGUCGUCAGCUCGUGUCGUGAGAUGUUGGGUUAAGUCCCGCAACGAGCGCAACCCUUAAGCUUAGUUGCCAUCAUUAAGUUGGGCACUCUAAGUUGACUGCCGGUGACAAACCGGAGGAAGGUGGGGAUGACGUCAAAUCAUCAUGCCCCUUAUGAUUUGGGCUACACACGUGCUACAAUGGACAAUACAAAGGGCAGCGAAACCGCGAGGUCAAGCAAAUCCCAUAAAGUUGUUCUCAGUUCGGAUUGUAGUCUGCAACUCGACUACAUGAAGCUGGAAUCGCUAGUAAUCGUAGAUCAGCAUGCUACGGUGAAUACGUUCCCGGGUCUUGUACACACCGCCCGUCACACCACGAGAGUUUGUAACACCCGAAGCCGGUGGAGUAACCUUUUAGGAGCUAGCCGUCGAAGGUGGGACAAAUGAUUGGGGUGAAGUCGUAACAAGGUAACCA
rnacentral:rRNA from 1 species